UUUGGUGGCGGCCGUGGGAUCCAAAGAGGACUUCAGCCAGCUUCGGGGACAAGAAACAGAGACCGUGGUACCUGCAAACCCCUUGAGUUCUCUUUGUCACCAUCUCUGAGGGCCCUGGGUAAGUACCUCUCGGUUUCGAGCUCUGCCCUCUUGGCCUUAAGCUCCCCAUCGAAUCGGCUGCCCGGUCCAGCGGUAACAUUCGGUUUGGACUCCCAGGAGGCGCCGGGCGAGUCCUCAGCCCUUGCUUACUCUGCAACCCCAGUCCAGGGCCUAGCCGCUCAGCCUGAGCUGGCAGGUGGUUCCACCUGGAACCUGAGUCCCCAGCCCUCGGCUAGCCCGCAGCGCCCACCGUUGACGUGCGCUCGUUCCGUCCACAGUUGUGCGCUGGGAACCACGGGUGGUGCGCACAUAAAGCCUUGUCACGGCCAGUCCGCAGUAUCCUCUCCUUGCUCACUGCUUGUCUGUGAGCGUGCACAUGAGGUAAAGGAAUAAUCUGUUGUUAAUGGGCAGCUCAGAAACCAGAGCUGGAAAGUCGGUGGGCACCUAAAAGCUGUUAGAGCGCGUGGCCACCCAACUCGACCGUUAUAAGCUGGUUACGGAAUGGGCUAGAUGGACACUAGGUCACCCGCCAACCUCAAGAAAAUUUGCACCCAGUGAGGUACACGGUGGAACACCCCAAGAUUCCCAGCCCAGCGGUACGUCCCUCUUAACUAUCAACUUGUCUCUGACAAACGUAAGGCUCAGGCGACGAAAUGAGAUCCUCCGGUUCCAAAGAAUUGAGUGUGCCCCCUCCCGGCACAACUGCUUUUAUGUCUAAGAAGUGGGUCCCAGAAGCUGUACGUGACUACAAAGAUGGCAGGAUGUUCAUAAAGCAAGCCAGAAUCACCAGGGCUGUUGUGUGAAAGGACUGCCUAAAAUGAAACCGGAGGAAAUGACACGGAGAAGCUCAUGCCUGUGUCCUCAGGAGAAGGGAACUGAACACUGGACCGAUUUCCUGGAAGGGCCCGAUUUACGGGAGACUGAGACUUCUCUCCGGCAUAGUGAACGUCUGCCCGGAAUGGCUCCUGUCCUCAAGCCAAUGAACUUACUGUUGGACCACGGACGCUGCCAGGAGAGACCGCCUUCUCCAAAGUACAAGACCACUGUGUAAGGAUAAGGCGCGGACAGACGAGCAAGUUUCACAGCAGCUCGCUUGCCACCCACGAGACGAUUCCGUGCAACAAGGGACACCAGGUCAUAGGUCAGACAAGUAGGGCAAAGGCUGUCCUCCGUGAAGAGGACGUUUCCCACGAAAGGCACACUGUCAAACAAAACCCAAGUCCGCGCCCUAAGUAUUCGGCGCUCUUGGGAAGACUCUAAAGAUGGGAUCCCAGGCAUCUCAAUGCUCUAAGGGUGACCCUCACCCCAAAACCCCAGUGGUUUUAUGCUAAAAAAAAAAAAAGUUACGGUCUCUCAUGCACACGGACCGGCAGUAUUGGAGACAAUUUGGAAUUGCAGUGGUCAUUACAAGGAAUGUUCCAGUUAGACAAGUUCCCUCAUUUAAGAAGUGCACUUGAACGCAAGGGUUCCCAAAUGAAACAGACAGAACGGGUUACCUAUUUCAGUCAGCAUGCAGAAGCCUCCAGAAGGCUUCAAGAUCCCCAAACUGCUUCAUUGGAAGAUUGAUUGCAAAAGGGUAAUGGAAAGUUAAAGACCCAAGAGGUACCUAAAAUGAGACCAUAUGACUGCCGGGACUCCUGGAACUCCCCUUUCUCCAACUCUACACCCGAAUCCUCAGAGUAUUAAUCCUCUGUCUGAAUGGUCUUUCCACCCGGAAGAGACUACAUGACCACACUCACACCAGUGUGUCAGAGGAGGGCCCCCACACAGGCCCCUCACAGGAUUGACGGGAUUCUGAGGGAUUCUCUUGUAACCACUACCAGUCAUUCCUGGAACAGCUAAGGGGAAACUAAAAUUAAAGGGACCCCUUGUCAAGUUCUGGCAGAUGCACAAGUUACACUCUGUACUUUGAACCCCACUUGCUCCAGAGCCCACAGAUGGGAAUCCUGGAAAAAGAAGGGUGAGAAUCCUGACCUGAGUUUGCUCUCCCAAGUUACCGUGGCCCACUCAAGAGAGGAAGGAAUCAAAGUUGUUCUCAUCAGAAGGGAAAAACUGUGGGAGAGUGGUGUUCUCCAAGGUGGAAAAUGUUGUCUUCACAAGUAUCAGUGAAAAGUUGAAGUCCCCUUGACUCACCCUUUUACCAGAAGCAUGAUGUGAAUGUGAUCCUCUUAUAAAUGGACCCUUGAUUGUUUUACUCUGAUGAUUCUGCAAAACUGAAACGCAUGGAAAGAACCCUACCACGAACUCUGGACCGCUGACAUUCCUGCCAAAUUAGAAGGUGUUGAACCUGGGGUGCCUAUGUCACAACUGAGGAAGGCUCCAUCUGACUUUGGGUCCGGUACAAAAGCCGGAGACCUCAAACUCAAAUGGACCAGCAAGAGAGGUCGACUGCUUCUUCCCAAGAUGGGGGAAACCCCCCUAGACAGGAGUGAGAGCAAAUGAGGCUACAAUCAGGAACCUCUCCUGCACUCCUGAAGAUGUUGCAGAAUCCGUCGCUAAAGCAAGAGCCGCCUACCAGUAAUUCCUAUGCUCUCUGCCGAAGUCGUUCUUGACGCUAAGGUUUCAAUCCAUGUUCGCAGCCAUUAACCACCUAGCAAAUAAUCCCCCUAAGAACAGAACUUCAGAAAAGGAACAAAGAGAAUGACCAACGGAAAGAACGAACCUGAUGUCAUGACCCGCGAAUACCACACAGACAUUUGGCAAAAGACCACGAGAACUCCCGAGCCUUAGAGGGAAGCAGCCCUAAUGCCUUAAGUUGGGAUCCCAUCUCUCAGGCUGAGAAUCGGAUCAAAAGGAGGGACAUGUUGAAAACAAGAAAAUAGGCCCCAAAUGGAGUCACUCACGCUAAGGUCCACGUCACCGAACUUCGGCUCUCUCAGAAAUGGAAUCUUAAACCAGUCAGGGCGUCUGCCUGACAGACCCCUGCCAUUCCCUAAAGGAAAGUGACUUGGCCAUAUCCAACCGAUUUUUGUCUAGUGUAGCCUCCUUGUUCCCUCUCCCUCCUGGCUAUAAAAGUCUCAUUUUGCCUAGUUCCUCUGAGCUCCUUUCUUCUGCUAGACAAGAGGCUGCUUCAUUCAUAAAUUGAUGAAUAAAGCCAACAGAAUCUUUCAGAUUGCCUCAGAGGAAUGUUGUUUGCUUUCUUAACACCAUCUCCCUCUCCAAGGCUAAGCCCCUGUUUUCCUAAUCCCCUAUCUGCCACCUCGGAACUGUUCCUUACCUCAUGCUACCUUACCUUUUAGGUGGAAGUCUGGCUCCUUAUCUACAGCAACAUGGUAUUUACCAAACAAACGCCCUGCUUGUUCAUGCAUCUGUGUGUUUGCCCCUGCAAUGGCCCUUCUCCAGGUCCCUCCACCCCAGGCCGUGGAGGUGGAGGCCAGGUUCAAGAGGUAUGGCCCUGGAGCCAGGGUCCUCCCCUCCCCUUGGAACUCUGGCCUCCAGCAUGGUUCCUGGAACAUAGGAUUUUAAUUUUCUGGUUACAUAAGCUUACAACUUUUUAUCCACUUCUGAAUGGUAUCCUUAUCUUUUUAGUUGACCCUUGCAAUGCUAUUUAAAUUUCAACGUCUUGUCUGCCAGUUAGAUUCUGGUCCCUGGUAACCGGACCCAGACAAGGUAGCACGGGUUUUAUGGCCACCAUGGCAGUGCUGUGCAAAUUGGAAUGUGCCUUGGAUUGACCCAGGGGUCUCGUUGAAAUGCAGACUCAAAUUCAGUAGGCCCAGGAGUCCAGAUUUCCAACGAGCUCCCAAGUAGUGAGGACGGUGAUGCUUAUCUAGGGACAUUUUGGACAGCAGGCCAUGUGGCCGAGUAUACAUCUGUCCCUCAGGAAUGCAGGAUGAAAGCAGGGGUGACGUGCAGGUGACUGGAUCAACUC